UACGGAGGGGGCUAGCGUUGUUCGGAAUGACUGGGCGUAAAGCGCGCGUAGGCGGAUCUGCAAGUCGGGGGUGAAAUCCCGGGGCUCAACCCCGGAACGGCCUUCGAGACUGUGGGUCUUGAGUUCGAGAGAGGUGGGUGGAAUUCCGAGUGUAGAGGUGAAAUUCGUAGAUAUUCGGAGGAACACCAGUGGCGAAGGCGGCCCACUGGCUCGACACUGACGCUGAGGCGCGAAAGCGUGGGGAGCAAACAGG
rnacentral:rRNA from 1 species